GAGAUGAGGGUCUCGUGGGGACACAGAUUCAUGACCUUGUAUUUUCUUUAUUAUGCUAUAGUUGGCACGGAAGCACCAUGGGCACACAAAGGAGGAAGAGGAGGGGAGAGAGGGAGAAGGGAAAUAUCUGCGCAGGAUAGAAGAUGACCUUUCUGCUGGGUCUUAACAAUGAGGAGCUUGUCACACGGAGAAGCAGGGAAGAGCAUUUGAGGCAGAAGGAACAGCACUUACAAAGCCCAAGAGGCCCAGAGGAUGUGUUGCAAUCUGGAGAUGGUUACUCUCGGAGGGAAAGACUAUGGAUUAUGCUUGGUGCCCUGCCUCCCAGCAGCCUCACUCAGCUUUCAGGCCUUGUGGAAGAUCCUUGGUUGUCCCUUCACAUUUAGGACAGAAGAAAAGGGAAACCAUCCUUUGUAAGAAGGAAAUGCCAGAAAGUGAGCUUCAUAAUUCCUCGUUCAUAGAAG